CAUAAUUUUCAUUCAAUUCGUGAAACAAAAACGAAAACAUCCCGACGCCACAAACUUGUCUCUGUUUUCGACCUCCACCUCUGCUCCCAUCGUCACCCAACCCCAGCCGCCGCCCGCAACCCCGGCGACCCCUCCGCUCGCCUUCUCUCCAUGGCCGCGUAUCCACUCCAGCAGCGCCCCUCCCUCCUCGCGCUGGAAACCCUAGCCAGCCAUGGCGACCCACGGCGACCGUGAAUAUUUGUGGCGCUAAAAUAGAAAUAUUGGAGGGUGGUUCGGAGGGCACCAGGAGAGAGAUCGUAUCAGUUGUGCUCUGGAGCUUCUCCUCUUCACAGAAGUGCACGCACGCGUGGGUCUGCACACAUUAGAAACAGCCAGACUCUGUUCUUGUCCUCUGUAUUCGGCGUCGUCGGUUAGGAAACAGUAGGUCAAAGUGCAAAGCUUGUGGUCUCCUGCAGCUCCGACCCGUCCUUGCCGCUGCUACCACUGCUCUGCUCCAUGUGUUUAUCCCGCCAAGGAGCGCAGACGCCGCCAGGGUGGGGUGGCUGCUGUUGCGCCGACGCAGCAGAGGACGCUCAUCUCCGUGCGCUCUCUUCUUUUAACUCAGGGGAAAUGCGAUCGGGCGGCGCUAAGCAAAAGAAAUGGAACUAUAAUUAAACAAUUAAGUUAAGUCUUGUCCUGUCUUUGAUGGCUUCUGAUUUUUCUUCUUGUAAUCAUCGCCCAGAUAUUAUUUACUCCCAAGAUGGAGGCCUUGGUGUUAGGACCAUACGGCUGUUAAUCUCUCUCUUUUAACUGCAGCAGAGCAUGGAGAAUUGUCCCCCAACAAGAUACAACAGCAGUAAAAAAUUUGAAGGCCAACUAUUUCCCUGACACUUCCUUCUGGAGAUGCAAUGCAGCAUGGAGAAUUGUCUUCAAACAAGACACCACAACAAUAAAAAAGUUGAAGGCUAACUAUUUCCCAGACACUUCCUUCUGCAUAUGAAGGCUAACUAUUUCCCAGACACUUCCUUCUGCAUAUGCAAUGGAAGUAGUUGCAGCUAUUCAGUUUCAUUGUUUAGACAAUGGCAUGCUGUAUAAAUAUCACAUGGUUGCAACUGUUGCUGCAGUCCAAGAGAAGCAAAACAGAUUCAUAUCAGUGAGUAGAAUGCAUAAAGUGCCAAAAUAGCACUGUCAGUUGUAUCUUGUGAGAAAAAAGGGGCACAAUUGUCGCAGAUUCAAACAGGAAAUUAUGUGCAUUGGAACCAAAACUUUGCAUAAGAUUCGAUCCUCAAUGGCUUCUUGCAGGAACGACGUUUAGUCCUCCUGUUAUCACGAUUAUCCCACCGCUCUCCAGCAGCUCCGACCCCUAGUGCUGGCUGACGCCAUGGAAGAACAAUUGCAGCCAACUGUGUUUGUUGGCACUCAAAACUUGACUGUUUCACUUGCAUCUAGACAACCUAUGGAGCUGUGCAAUUAUGCGUAGACUAUUUCCAAGAUGGACUAAGCUAGUAUGUAUACUAGUGCUGGCCAUUGUUUUACUGCUUGUGUGAAGAGGGCCGGCCAAGGAGAAGCUGUUGCUACGUGGGGGUUCAAGGUCAACUUCAUCACUAUCAACCAAGCAGCAGGCACACUCCAUCGACGACCGGGACCCCAUGCCCAAGCUGACGAGGACGACACCGUCGAGUCCAACAAUCUCGACCAUGACGACGACCUGCACAAGAUGGACUAGUAUGUAUACUAGUGCUGUCUAUUGGCCUUACUAAUUGAGUGAAGAUGGUCAGCCAAGAAAGAAUCUGCUGCUGCGGGGGUUGAAGGUUAACAUCACCACCAUCAACCAAGGGAGGGACCUGACUUGAUGGCCAUCUCCGGCGAGCUCGCACCCCUGCACCACCACAUCGGUGACUACAACAUUGAGUUGAACGGCAGUGGGCUUACGACAAGGCCAUACCCACUCGACUGCAGUGGCGAGUAGGCGGUGACCAACUUGGAGCCCAAGACGGCGGCUACAUGGGUUGCGCGUCCCUGCACCCUUGGUUUAUCACAGCGAGGUGGGAAGAUUGAAGCGAAAGGUAGAACCAGGAAUGGUAAAGGCAGGCGCGAACAAACUGGGUGGUCCAAGCUACAGCAGGUCUGCACCAACAGCAAGUGCCAAUGAAAUAGGAUGUUCCUCCUGCCUUGUGUCGCCCUGCUCGGAGUAGGUUGAUCCUGGUGCUGAUGUUUAUUCUGUUUUCGUGACAAUGUUUUGUUGCAUAACUAAGCAGUUGGAUGAACUCCGUAUUACUGGAAGCCCAAACAUCUAUUUCUAAUGUUCC